rnacentral:lncRNA from 1 species
GCCACAUGUGAUUCAAGCAUCUUUCUUCUCUUAUUUUUUUUCUAGUUUUUAUACUAUGAGGAAUUACAAAGGCCCGCAUUUUCUCUGUACCAGGUAUUUACGACGAUUUCAUCUUACGUGGAAUUAGCGUGCCCUGCUUUUUUUAUUUUUUUAAAUUUCGUCGUAAGUUUCUCGUUGGCUUACGACUCCUUUACGAUGAUUUCGUCUUACGUGGAAGCGUGCCCCGCUUUCUUUAUUUUUUUUAUUUUGUCGUAAGUUCCACGAUAUUUUACGAGGAAUUAAUGAGUAUUAUGUUUAAAUCCCUAAAAUCCAAAACCCCAAACCCCAAACCCCAUCUUCCUUAUCUUCUACUUCAUAUAUUCCAAACCCCAAACCCAUCUACCCUUGAACCUCAAUCUAUACUUUCACCUCAAUCAAUUCUUUCCAUUCCAAACCACAGGUCCUUAUUCAUAAAACAAACUCCCACAUUACCUUAUUAAUAAAACAAACUCUCACAUUAUCUUAUUCAUAAAACAAACAACACAAAAUCAAAUACAUCAAUCGGAUACAUCAAC